ACUCACAACUUGCUCAGUGCAAUCUGAAGAGCAUUUAUUGAGCACCUUGUUAUGGGGCACUGACAUAUGCUGCGGAGGAUAGAAGACUUCUCGGGGGGUUAUAAUGGGGCUGGGGAGCUCUUGAACUCAACUGACAUACUGUGUAAGUUAAACUAGUAAAUGCCAUGGGAUUUUUGGAUUAGAAGCAACAAAAACACAAACUAGGUUAAACAAUAAGAAUUUGUGGCAAAAAAUAAUGGGCUGUCGCAAGGAAUCGGGGGCAGGCAGGGCUGUACCAGGGACACAGGAACCGAUGCUGCCAAUAACAUUAGACUCC
rnacentral:lncRNA from 1 species